rfam:Treponema socranskii subsp. socranskii VPI DR56BR1116 = ATCC 35536 strain VPI DR56BR1116 ctg120007787850, whole genome shotgun sequence.
GCCAACUUAGCUCAUCCGGUAGAGCAUCGCAUUCGUAAUGCGGCGGUGAUCGGUUCAAGUCCGGUAGUUGGCU